AUUGAACGCUGGCGGCAGGCCUAACACAUGCAAGUCGAGCGGAGCGGCGGACGGGUGAGUAAUGCCUAGGAAUCUGCCUGGUCGUGGGGGAUAACGUCCGGAAACGGGCGCUAAUCCCGCAUACUAUCAGAUGAGCCUAGGUCGGAUUAGCUAGUUGGUGGGGUAAAGGCCUACCAAGGCGCCGAUCCGCAACUGGUCUGAGAGGAUGAUCAGUCACACUGGAACUGGGAAACGGUCCAGGCUCCUACGGGAGGCAGAAGUGGGGAAUGUGGGAAAAUGGGCGAAAGCCUGAUCCAGCAAUGCCGCGUGUGUGAAGAAGGUCUUCGGAUUGUAAAGCACUUUAAGUUGGGAGGCGUUAGCAGCAGAAUAAGCACCGGCUAACUACGUGCCAGCAGCCGCGGUAAUUC
rnacentral:rRNA from 1 species